rnacentral:rRNA from 1 species
AUUGCACGCUGGCGGCAGGCCUAACACAUGCAAGUCGAGCGAGCGGCGGACGGGUGAGUAAUGUCUGGGAAACUGCCUGAUGGAGGGGGAUAACUACUGGAAACGGUAGCUAAUACCGCAUACCAUCAGAUGUGCCCAGCUGGGAUUAGCUAGUAGGUGGGGUAAUGGCUCACCUAGGCUACGAUCCCUAGCUGGUCUGCGAGGAUGACCAGCCAAACGGGAACUGCGAAACUGGCCAGACUCCUACGAGAGGAAGCAGUGGGUAAUAUUGCACAAUGGGCGCAAGCCUGAUGCAGCCAUGCCGCGUGUAUGAAGAAGGCAGUCGGGUUGUAAAGAACUUUCAGCGAGGAGGCGUUACUCGCAGAAGAAGCACCGGCUAGCUCCGGGACAGCAGCGGCGGUAAUUC